GUAUUUUUCUUUAUCGUCAUCUGUAUUGGGUUGCAAAAGUCAUUCCAUUACAGCCAUCGUUUUUUUUUUUUUUUCACGUCAUGAAAGGCAUGAUUACGCAAUCAAUAUUUUACCUGUCACAAUCUCAAUUUGGUGUCCCGCUCGGAUUGUAAAAUCGCUCAUAUUUUUCUUCAGUUGUUAUUUUUGGGGUAAAUUUCAAGCGCCAUCUAAAUUACAUUGAGCACUAAUGUGGAAUUUAUGCCAAUUAUCAGUACUGUACUUGACCCCAUCAUUUAUACCGCAUGUGUCAAAGUCAAGGCCCGGGGGCCAGAUCCGGCCCCUCCGCGUCAUUUUAUGUGGCCCGCGGGAGCAAAUCAUGUGUGUCAACUAUCAUUUUUUUUUCUUCUUUCUACCUACAUUCUUGCUGCUGGAGGCUGUAAAUUUCCCCAGUGUGGUACAAAUAAAGGAUAUCUUAUCUUA